rnacentral:rRNA from 1 species
GGAAUCUUCCACAAUGGGCGAAAGCCUGAUGGAGCAACGCCGCGUGUGUGAUGAAGGGUUUCGGCUCGUAAAACACUGUUGUAAGAGAAGAAUGACAUUGAGAGUAACUGUUCAAUGUGUGACGGUAUCUUACCAGAAAGGAACGGCUAAAUACGUGCCAGCAG